CUCAGAUUGAACGCUGGCGGCAUGCCUUACACAUGCAAGUCGAACGGUAACAGGUCUUCGGAUGCUGACGAGUGGCGAACGGGUGAGUAAUACAUCGGAACGUGCCCGAUCGUGGGGGAUAACGCAGCGAAAGCUGUGCUAAUACCGCAUACGAUCUACGGAUGAAAGCGGGGGAUCGCAAGACCUCGCGCGGACGGAGCGGCCGAUGGCAGAUUAGGUAGUUGGUGGGAUAAAAGCUUACCAAGCCGACGAUCUGUAGCUGGUCUGAGAGGACGACCAGCCACACUGGGACUGAGACACGGCCCAGACUCCUACGGGAGGCAGCAGUGGGGAAUUUUGGACAAUGGGCGCAAGCCUGAUCCAGCCAUGCCGCGUGCAGGAUGAAGGCCUUCGGGUUGUAAACUGUCUUUUGUACGGAACGAAAAAGCUCUCUCUAAUACAGGGGGUGAAUGACGGUACCGUAAGAAUAAGCACCGG
rnacentral:rRNA from 1 species